rnacentral:rRNA from 1 species
GUGAACGCUGGCGGCAGGCCUAACACAUGCAAGUCGAGCGGCAGCGCGGGGGCAACCCUGGCGGCGAGCGGCGGACGGGUGAGGAAUUCGUCGGAAUCUGCCUUUUUGUGGGGGAUAACGUAGGGAAACUUACGCUAAUACCGCAUACGUCCUACGGGAGAAAGUGGGGGACCGCAAGGCCUCACACAGAAAGAUGAGCCGACGACCGAUUAGCUAGUUGGUGGGGUAAAGGCCCACCAAGGCGACGAUCGGUAGCUGGUCUGAGAGGAUGAUCAGCCACACUGGGACUGAGACACGGCCCAGACUCCUACGGGAGGCAGCAGUGGGGAAUAUUGGACAAUGGGCGCAAGCCUGAUCCAGCCAUGCCGCGUGUGUGAAGAAGGCCUUCGGGUUGUAAAGCACUUUUGUCCGGAAAGAAAUCCCUGGAGCUAAUACCUUCGGGGGAUGACGGUACCGGAAGAAUAAGCACCGGCUAACUUCGUG